GACGAACGCUGGCGGCGUGCUUAACACAUGCCAGUCGAACGGAAAGGCCCUGCUUUUGUGUGGUGCUCGCGUGGCGAACGGGUGAGUAACACGUGAGUAACCUGCCCUUGACUUUGGGAUAACUUCAGGAAACUGGGGCUAAUACCGGAUAGGAGCUCCUGCUGCAUGGUGGGGGUUGGAAAGUUUAGGCGGAUGGGGAUGGACUCGCGGCUUAUCAGCUUGUUGGUGGGGUAGUGGCUUACCAGGCCUUUGGCUGGUAGCCGGCCUGAGAGGGUGAACGGGGACAAGGGGACUAAGAUACGGACCAGACGCCUACGGGAGGCAGUAGUGGGGAAUAUUGCACAAUGGGCGGAAGCCUGAUGCAGCAACGCCGCGUGCGGGAUGACGGCCUUCGGGUGGUAAACCGCAUUCGCCUGUGACGAAGCGUGAGUGACGGUAAUGGGUGAAGAAGCACCGGCUAACUACGUG
rnacentral:rRNA from 1 species